rnacentral:lncRNA from 1 species
UAAUAAACAUGUAUAUCAUCGGCCAUUUUAUUAGCUAAUCACUAGCAAGUAUUUACACAUCAUUCAUUGUUCAUAUUAUACCAAAAGUAGCUAAGUUUCUAUACAUGCCAUACCCAAAACAAAACGUCUAAUUAUACCGAGUUAUUUCUUUGAUAGUGUGAUCGGCCUCCGACGUUUCCUUCGAUCCCCGAGUGGCUAGAUAAGUACUAUAAGAAGAAGAAAAUAAAGAGAUUAAGCACUAGGCUUAGUAAGCUUACAAGCAAAUAAAUCACAACAUUCAACAUAAUGGAUAAUUAUGCAUAAUAUCAUCUAACAUCAUAAAUUUCUUUACUUCUCAAUUUCUAUCUUCUUCUUUAUUCCCUUACCUUCUUUCUUACCUGACCUUUCCUUUUUCAUAAAUAUAAUCUACUUUUCCUUUGCUGUUAAUUCACUAUAAUUUAACUCGUACCCUGACCCGUUGAACCACUCGGAAUACUAAGAAUACUAGGGUCGUUCCUGUCUUUCAAUAUCCUGCCAAUGCCAUGUCUUUGACAUGGACUUACAUGAAUUAUUCCUAUCUCCAAUGCCAUAUAUAAUAUGGGCUUACAUGGCUCAAUCCUGCCUCCAAAGCCAUAUUUCUAAUAAGGACUUACAUGGCUCAUUUCUGUUCUGUCCUGUCAACCCUAAUAUCCUAACAUUCCUAGGGUUUAACCGGGGCUUUCUAACACUUUUCCUCUGUCACUUCACCUUAAAUUCGACUUUAAAUAUUUUCAUAACAUAAAUAUAUAAAUGUUGAAAAUUGAAAAUAAUAAUGUAAAAUAAAAAAAUAUUGCAUUUAUUUACUGUAACUUACCUUGAUACAAAAUGUGACUAAACUUUACAAUUUAGUCCUUUACUUUUUCUUUUCCCCAAUCUACUCCCGAAUUUUGUUCUUCUUGAUCUAUAAUAGCAAAUUUAACUUAUUUAAUAUUCACAUUUAUUAAAACAGUCCUUGACCCAAACUUUGGAAAAAUUAUAUUUUUACCCCUAAACUUUCACAUAUUUGCACUUUUUCCCCAAGGCUCGUAAAUUAAACUUCAUCCUAUUUUCUUAUGUUUUAUGACAUGCUGAUCAUUUUUCCCUUCUAUGGCAAUAUCAAAAUCACACUCUAACAUAUACUUAUGACUAUUGGUAUUUUUUUCGAUUUAAGCCAUUUUACUCGUUUUCACUUAAAACCGAGUAGCAUAAGUUGUUUAACAUAAUUUAAAACCUCAUAUUCUAUCAUAAAACACCAAAAUACACAAAUUUCAGCUAUGGGUAUUUUUCCAAAUAUGAACCCUAGGUUGAAUUAUUGCUAGAAUAAGCUUAAUCAAGUUACCGGGACUCCAAAAACGUAAAGAUCAUUAAAAACGGGGCUUGGAAUCACUUACUAUGAAGCUUGAAAGUUGAAGAAACCCCAGCUAUGGAGGAGAGAAAAAAUCGGCAGAAACUAAUUGAGAAGAU